AUUGAACGCUGGCGGCAGGCCUAACACAUGCACGUCGAACGCGUGGCGGACGGGUGAGUAAUGUCUGGGAAACUGCCAGAUGGAUGGGGCUAACUACUGGAAACGGUAGCUAAUACCGCAUACCAUCGGAUGUGCCAAGAUGGGAGUAGCUAGUAGGUGGGGUAACGGCUCAACUAGGCUACGAUCCCUACAUGGUCUGAGAGGAUGACAAGCCACACUUGAACUGAGACACGGUCCAGACUCCUACGGGAGGCAGCAGUGGGGAAGAUUGCACAAUGGGCGCAAGCCGGAUGCAGCCAUGCCGCUUGUAUGAAGAAGGCCUUCGGGUUGUAAAGUACUUUCAGCGAGGAGGCGUGACUCGCAGAAGAAGCACCGGCUAACUCCGUGCCAGCAGCCGCGGUAAUAC
rnacentral:rRNA from 1 species